GACGAACGCUGGCGGCGUGCCUAAUACAUGCAAGUCGAGCGAAUGGAUGGGAGCUUGCUCCCUGAAGUUAGCGGCGGACGGGUGAGUAACACGUGGGCAACCUGCCUGUAAGACUGGGAUAACUUCGGGAAACCGGAGCUAAUACCGGAUACAUUCUUUCUUCGCCUGAAGAAAGAUGGAAAGAUGGUUUCGGCUAUCACUUACAGAUGGGCCCGCGGCGCAUUAGCUAGUUGGUGAGGUAACGGCUCACCAAGGCAACGAUGCGUAGCCGACCUGAGAGGGUGAUCGGCCACACUGGGACUGAGACACGGCCCAGACUCCUACGGGAGGCAGCAGUAGGGAAUCUUCCGCAAUGGACGAAAGUCUGACGGAGCAACGCCGCGUGAGCGAAGAAGGCCUUCGGGUCGUAAAGCUCUGUUGUUAGGGAAGAACAAGUACCAGAGUAACUGCUGGUACCUUGACGGUACCUAACCAGAAAGCCACGGCUAACUACGUGCCAGCCGCCGCAGUAACAC
rnacentral:rRNA from 1 species